AAAAUUUGGAGUAGAAAAAGAGAAAGAUCAGCCUGGGAAUGGAAGAUCCUCUGUUCAUGAUUCACCUAGAAGAACGAGCCUUGUUUCUAGUCAGGAGAAAAACAGAAUGUACAGACAUAAAAUAAUUCCUCAUAUUUUGUGAAUUUGCAGGCUGGGAGAUGAAAUGCAGCUGGGUACAGUACUGACCCCUGGAGUGGGAGCUUCUCCUCUUUGCUCCAGCACGCUCAUGAAGUUGGUUGGGGAUUGGGAGAGCUUUGCAGUGAGGAGUGAAAAGGCACCAAUGGGAAUUACUACAGAUACAGACAGAACAAGCCAUUUCCAGUUUGAAGAAUGUCCUGCAAGAAUCACUUUCACAGGGCAGUCCUUCAUUUUCCUUUUUGGCAGAUAGAUUCAAAGAUGCUUCUCAAAGAGCAAAACCCACUUCAGAGAUGGUGAGGAGAGCUCAGUCCUUGCUGGGCUGUGGCAGCACAAACAGCUGGAAGCACUCUCAGUGUCUUUGCUCACUUCAGCACUGCAGUGGAGUGGAGAGCACAACCACAGAGGCUUUUCCUGUCAGUACAGGCAUUCUGUGGAUGAUACAAUCCCUCCAGAGCCAUCUUCCCCUGG